rnacentral:lncRNA from 1 species
CCUGAUACAUUUCCAGCACGAAGCCUGCGGGUCUUUAGCUCGGAUACAUUUCCAGUGUCUUGCUUAUUUAUUCACAUGUUAACACAUUUCACAUAACAUAUCACAUUAGCAAUUCAAUUGCUUCAUUCGAAUAUAAGCACAAAAUGUACACCUACCCUUUAACUUUCGGUUCAAUAAUCAUACACAAGGAACACAAAUGUCGGAAUCCUGUGUCAUGACAUAUGUAUCCUAACUAUUCCUAAGAUUCAUACAGGGCUUUCGAACGUCGUAACUCGGUUGAAUCGAAAGCUCGAACAUAGUUUUCAAACUCAUAAACAUUCGGCAUUUACAAGUAUAAAUUCAUAUAUUAUAUACCAGCAUAUAUACUUAACAUUUAACUACAUUUAGGCAUGUGUAUUUGCUUAUAAACUUACCUCAGACGUCGUAAAACGGGACGGAGCUGCUAGUCGACAACUUUCGUUUUUCCCUAGUCCAAAUCCGAUUUCUUUGGUUCUUGAUCUAAAAAUAUUCAAAUUAAGCUCAUUCAAACAUAUUUUCAUUCAAUUUAGUUCAAAAACACAUAAAUGAGAAAAUUACCAUUUUACCCCUGACAUUUACAAUUUUUACAAUUUAAUCCCUAUUGCACAAAACACAAAAUAUACAAAAUUUCAAUAUACCC